rnacentral:sRNA from 1 species
GAUUUUCUGCCUGUUGGAUCUCUUAAUUACUGCUAGAGGGGUGCUGCAGUCUCCAACUAUACAAAGGAAUAUUUUCUUUCAACCAACUUGAUCUGUCUACGUCUGAUGGCCUGGAAUCCUUCAGGAAAGUGUGGUCAGCUGGAUUUUGUCAGAACGUGGAUUUCUACGGGCCUUCUGGCCUCUCAUGUUUGAUGAAGGGAACAGAAGAAAAUGGUUUCGCUUCUUCAGUGUAUAUUUAUUUAUUCAUGGAUACCUUUUUCAGUUUUUAUCCUGUGUUUCUUUUUUUCUUUCUCUCUUUUUUUUUUUUUUUUUUUUGAGACAGAGUUUUGCUCUUGUCACCCAGGCUGGAGUGCAGUGGCAUAAUCUCUACUCACUGCAACGUCUGCCUCCUGGUCAAGCGAUUCUCCUUCCUCAGCCUCCCAAGUAGCUGGUAUUACAGGUGCCCACCACCACGCCCAGUGAAUUUUUUGUAUUUUUAGUAGAGACAGGGUUUUGCCAUGUUGGGCUGGCUGGUCUCAAACUCCUGAUCU